AUCAAUACUUCCGAUUAGGGAUGCAAGUUUUGGGGAGUAACAUCUAUACAACGAUGUUUCGAUGCAUCGGAAAAAUGAACAUCGAUGAUAAAAUACAUCGCCAGAAAAACAUCGA